ACAGUGGACGCGAGCAUCUUUGUAGAUUUAACAAGCUACUAAGUGCGAUCGGUGGAUGCCUUGGCACCAAGAGCCGAUGAAGGACGUUGUAACCUGCGAUAAGCCUCGGGGAGCUGGUAAACGAGCUUUGAUCCGUGGAUCUCCGAAUAGGGAAACCUUGAAAUACCAGAGUCAUGUCUGGCAACCUCCGCCUGAAUAUAUAGGGCGGUUGGAGGGAACGUGGGGAAGUGAAACAUCUCAGUACCCACAGGAAGAGAAAACAACAGUGAUUCCGUAAGUAGUGGCGAGCGAACGCGGAAGAGGCCAAACCGAUCGUGUGUGAUAGCCGGCAGGCGUUGCACGAUCGGGGUUGUGGGACAUCUCAGCUGCUCUGCCGAGCAGCAAGCGUUACAGACCGCGGUAGGCGAAGAGCUUGGAAAGGCUCAUCGAAGAGGGUGACAAUCCCGUAGCCGAAACCGCGCAAUGGCGCGAGGUCCAUCCCAAGUAGCACGGGGCCCGAGAAAUCCCGUGUGAAUCAGCCAGGACCACCUGGUAAGCCUAAAUACUCCCAGAUGACCGAUAGCGGACAAGUA
rnacentral:rRNA from 1 species